rnacentral:rRNA from 1 species
UGGGGAAUCUUAGACAAUGGGCGCAAGCCUGAUCUAGCCAUGCCGCGUGAGUGAUGAAGGCCUUAGGGUUGUAAAGCUCUUUCAGCUGGGAAGAUAAUGACGGUACCAGCAGAAGAAGCCCCGGCUAACUCCGUGCCAGCAGCCGCGGUAAUACGGAGGGGGCUAGCGUUGUUCGGAAUUACUGGGCGUAAAGCGCACGUAGGCGGAUCGGAAAGUCAGAGGUGAAAUCCCAGGGCUCAACCUUGGAACUGCCUUUGAAACUCCUGGUCUUGAGUUCGAGAGAGGUGAGUGGAAUUCCGAGUGUAGAGGUGAAAUUCGUAGAUAUUCGGAGGAACACCAGUGGCGAAGGCGGCUCACUGGCUCGAUACUGACGCUGAGGUGCGAAAGCGUGGGGAGCAAACAGG